rnacentral:rRNA from 1 species
CACUCCAGAGGUCAUCUGACCUAGUACAUUCUAGAUGGUGACAAUCUGAGGCAUGGGUUGAAUCGAGACCUCUGUUUCGAAGCAAAGGACCGUGCUGAAAAUAUACGCAGAGUAGGAGAAUUAGCAAAACUGUUUGCAGAUGCAGCUCUGAUCUGCAUUGCUCGCUUGAUAUCACCCUACAGAAGUGAACGAAGCGCUUGUCGUAAAUUACUGCACAAUUCUACAUUCAUCGAGGUGUUUUUGCAUGUCCCACUUGAAGUAUGUGAAGCUAGGGAUCCAAAAUGCUUGUACAAGCUUGCCCGUGCUGGAAAAAUCAAAGGGUUCACUGGAAUUGAUGAUCCUUAUGAACCACCUUUUGAUUGCUAG